rnacentral:tRNA from 1 species
UCCGAAUUAGUACAGUGGCUAGUAUAUUCCGCUCUCAAUCAGAGCUUCUCACAUGGGCUGUGGGAUCCGGAAAGACAGGAGUUCGAUUCUCCUAUUCGGAG